AAUCAACGCUGGCGGCGUGCCUCAGACAUGCAAGUCGAACGAUUAAAGCUCUCUUCGGAGAGUGCAUAAAGUGGCGCACGGGUGAGUAACACGUAAGUAAUCUACCCUCGAGUGGGGAGUAACGUCCGGAACGGACGCUAAUACCGCAUAAUGCAGCGGCAUCGCAAGAUGACAGUUGUUAAAGAUUUAUUCGCUUGAAGAGGAGCUUGCGGCAGAUAGUCUAGUUGGUAAGGUAAUGGCUUACCAAGGCUACGAUCUGUAACCGGUCUAAGAGGACGGUCGGUCACACUGACACUGAAUAACGGGUC
rnacentral:rRNA from 1 species